UCCGAUAUGGUCUAGUGGCUAGGAUUUCUGUUAGUUCCUUCCUCGUCUGUUGCAAAGACCCAUUCACUAACAAUCAUCAGCGCUCUCAUUAUAAAGUGCCGAGGAGGCCGGGGUUCAAUUCCCCGUGUCGGAA